UUAGUGCAUGAAUUACAGACUGGUAGUGUACUUCAUGGUUACUGUUAUGUCUUUUACGUGUCGAUGCAGUACUUAAAGGGAUCUUUUAAGUAUUUCAAAGUGUUUUUUAAGUAGCACAAUGUUGUAAAGUACUAAGCGUUGACAAUCUUCAUCGGUCGUUGGCUUGUAGAUUCCAUGAAAGUCAUGCAUAUUCAAAGUUGGCUCAGUUAAAGUCAUGAUCGUCUGAACUAUGGAAAAUAUUCUGUCUAGGGAAUGACACCUUAAAAGAAAGAACUGCGGUUGCAAUCUCCAACAAUAUUGCACGAAUUUUGAUGCUGAAAGACUUGGCAACCAUGCUGUCCACCACGCCGAGAAGCUGAGUAACAUUCUGCUUGUACAAUGGCACCUCUUAAUAAAAGGAACUUGAGCCAUCCAAUCUAGGGCUUCCAUCCAAUCGUGCAGGCUGCAUGGAAGUCACAUUUACCUUUGCUGUGAACAUCAUGAACACAUACACUAUUUGAAGGUUCAUGUUUAUGUAACAGUGGUGUUGUUGCAGCCUUUGGUGGUGAAAGAUAUCUGCAUCAAGUUGCUGUUCCUGUGGUGUGUUGUUGCAGCCUAUGGUGGUUAAAGAUAUCUGCAUCGAGUUGCUGUUCCUUGUGCAUCCAAGGUGCUGGUUUUGUGCUACAGAAGUUGCAUUCAGUAUUGUGUUUAAUUGCUAUUCGUGUCUAUGCAGUUUACCUUUUACAUGUUGAUAAGAAACAAAAAAAGUAAUACUGGGAGGAUUAUGUCAAACAAAUAAUAAACAUGUCAGGGAUGGGGAAAUGAGGAGGAAGUUGGGGUGGGGUAUUUGGUUAUGAUUUACUAAAAGAAGUGAGGUAUAUUUGUAAUGAAUAUGCAGUACUUUGUGAUAAAAACUGUUGUUAACCUAUACCUUCCUGUCAACCUAUACCUCCCCUACUUCCACUUACACAUCUAUUCCUAAAACCCCAUAAGCACCAACAUCAAAUCCCACAAAUCCACUCACAUCCAUUCCUAAAACCCCACAAUCACCAAACACCCAACAUUCACACAAUUUUUGUAUAUGUAUAAUUAAAUUUUAAUAAAUAAAAUGCAUUGUA